GGACGAAAGGGACUUCCGCAUUCCGUCACAGUGCUUCCGGCCCUGGCUCCUGAUGAACAUCCCUUCAAGUGACGUGCGACGAAGAGUGCGACCACGUGUGAUCAGUGCGAAGUUUUGAAUUUUCUUUCAAAAACUUUUGUGACCGGUGACUCUGGAGGACCGAAUUUUCUUUGGUGACGUUAUCUCGGUUGUGUCCUGUCGAAUCGAACCCGAUUUCUGAAACUUUCUUACGAGACUCGAUCAAUUUUUUUGGCGUUGCAUGAAAGUUGGUUUGAAAGCUGAGGUUUUCUGUGUGUUUGCGUGUGUGCAUGUGCGUUUCUGACACGUGUGAGAGGGCUGUUGAGUGCUUGUUAUAAAAUGUGAUUGUGAGGAUGUUAGUGAAACUGUGGUGAAAGAGUAUCCGCCAAAAUUAUGUAUGUAUAAAAAGUGAAGUAGUUAAUGAGACUAGAGGAAGCAUACAGAGAGAGAGGAAGAAAAAGGCAGAUGAAAAUAGGUACACCGAGCAUUUUCCUGUUCAUGAAGUCUUACACGGUCGUUUCCGUGUUUUUUCCGCGAAGAAUACUUUUGGUUUCACUGUGAGGAGUGUGCAAAAGCUCACUGAGGAUUUUCGUAAGCGGUUGCUCACAAUUAGUUGAAAAUCGUGGCAAUAAGUUUAAAAGUAAGUUUUGGCAUCUUCAAUUUUCAUUAGUCAAAUUUAUCGUGUGAUGUUAGUU
rnacentral:lncRNA from 1 species